GGGGAUGCAAGCGUUAUCCGGAAUCAUUGGGCGUAAAGCGCCUGUAGGUUGUUUAAUAAGUCUGUUGUUAAAGACUAGGGCUUAACCCUAGAAAAGCAAUGGAAACUACUAGACUAGAGUAUGGCAGGGGUAGAGGGAAUUUCUAGUGUAGCGGUGAAAUGCGUAGAUAUUAGAAAGAACACCGGUGGCGAAAGCGCUCUACUGGAACCAUUACUGACACUCAGAGGCGAAAGCUAGGGUAGCAAAAGGGAUUAGAUACCCCUGUAGUCCUAGCCGUAAACGAUGGAUACUACAUGUUGUGUUUAUUUCACAGUAUGGUAGCUAACGCGUUAAGUAUCCCGCCUGGGGAGUACGCUCGCAAGGGUGAAACUCAAAGGAAUUGACGGGGGCCCGCACAAGCGGUGGAGCAUGUGGUUUAAUUCGAUGCAACGCGAAGAACCUUACCAGGGCUUGACAUACUGCGAAUCUUUCCGAAAGGAAAGAGUGCCUUCGGGAAUGCAGAUACAGGUGGUGCAUGGCUGUCGUCAGCUCGUGUCGUGAGAUGUUGGGUUAAGUCCCGCAACGAGCGCAACCCUUGUUUUUAGUUACCAAUUCGUUGGGUUUUCUAGAAAGACUGCCGGUGACAAACCGGAGGAAGGUGAGGAUGACGUCAAGUCAGCAUGCCCCUUAUGUCCUGGGCUACACACGUGCUACAAUGGUUAGGACAAAGAGUUGCGAGCUUGUGAAAGUCAGCUAAUCUC
rnacentral:rRNA from 1 species